GCGUUUUUUUUUUUUAUUCUUUAUUUUUGCCCCGACAGAGAGCAACAUAUGCACAGUACAAAGUGGCUUACACAGAAGCCCAGUUCCAUAUAAAUUGUGAUCAACAAUGUGUCAUUGAGGUAUAGGAAGAUGGGUUAAAUGCAUACAUUACAACAAUUAUUCUUGUACAUGUUCACAAUCCGCCAGCUUUUGUUCAAAAAGAAAAAGAAAGUACAUUCAGAAAAAUAAUAACUUAAUGAAGAUAACCUAACUUUUUUUUGUAAAUCUUUCUUUUAUUGAAGGCAUAUAAGAUGGGGUACAUAAGAAAAGCAGGGGAAAUGUACGAGUGAUUUUACAGCUUAGGUACAUCAUUUAGCAAUUUUGAGUUACAUUUCCAGAAUAGCAAUGCCUCAUUUUUAAAAUUUUUGUUGUUAAACUAUAUGUUGAAGAUACAUAAGGUCCUGUUGAUUAAAGGCACAAUAAGUGGAUCAACUGAUUAUAAAUCAAGCAGAGGUAACAUUAACCUGAGUUGUGCAAGCUGAUUGAUUAGAUGCAUGCCUACUGAGUGUGUUAAGAGAUUUAAAUGAUAUGCUAUACCAGAGGGUUCAAUAUAUUAACAUGCUGGGCUUAAACAGUAUACUACAUAUAUAGAAAAUGAUAGGCGCACAGUCUCGUGUCUAGAUAUUCUAAAACAGUUGCUUUGCUGGAUGUGUGUCAUUGACUCAAUGCAGAACUAACUGUAUAACUAAACAAAUAGAUAUAGGAGAUAAACAGUUCUUAAGCUAUGCAAUUGAGUUUAACUGGGUCAGUAAUUAAGAAAGCGCAACAGGUUGCAUAGAUGGUACAAGUGGGCUGCGACAAAGGUAACCAUUUAAAGCAUAGAGUUGCGUUCUGUAUAGAGGGGACCUAAAGAAAUAAGGAAGGUGAGAGGAGAGAGUUAAACAGUGCAGCGUGUCCGCAAAUCAGUCCCGCUCAGCCCUUGCCGGUUCGCGGCAUGUUGUCAUCAGGAGUGAGAGGGGAGAAGGUGUCGGAAUGGCAGUUGCGGGGUGAGGACCCUCUCCAGCCCCAGGCCCACAUAGAGGGUGGCAUCGUCUGACCACUGGCUCGAUGGCUCUGUGAGUUUGAGGCAUACCCAUAUCGAGUGCCAGCGGCGGGCAUUCCUUCUGCAUGGUGGUCGAUGCUGUGGAGACAGUUUCCUCCUGGCCCCUAGCCUGGGCGGGCUGUGUGCUUGCGUGGUUAGCUUGGGGAUAGUCGCUGUGCCCAGAGUGGGGUGCCUCUUCCACCCGUUCCCCGCUGCAUUUUUGCGGUCUGGCUGCCCUUUCGGUGGUACCUUUCUCUGUACUCCGUGGAGUCGGUUCAGUCUGUUCUUAUCUGGGUGGGGUGGCUGAUUUGCCGUCGGUGCUUACAGCCUUUUUCCCAGCCUGUGCCAGAAUCGGGCAAAAGCUGCAUCUAAACGCUGCUGUAUGUUGCUGUGAUCCUCUAUCUCAGGUAGGCGUUUCAGCUCGUGUGGUGCACUGAAGAUAACCUAACUUAACUAUGAAUCUUCCCUCUCUGGCUCCAAGAUUUUGAAGGUGGCAUUCUAAGGAGUGCGCCCAGGAGGCCGGACCUGUGCAAGCCCCCGGGAAUACGUAUUGUUUUGUGAUAG